rnacentral:rRNA from 1 species
UACAGAGGGUGCAAGCGUUAAUCGGAAUUACUGGGCGUAAAGCGUGCGUAGGUGGUUUGUUAAGUCAGGCGUGAAAUCCUGGGGCUCAACCUCAGAAUUGCGCUUGAUACUGACUGACUCGAGUGUGGUAGAGGAUAGUGGAAUUCCCGGUGUAGCGGUGAAAUGCGUAGAUAUCGGGAGGAACAUCAGUGGCGAAGGCGGCUAUCUGGACCAACACUGACACUGAGGUACGAAAGCGUGGGUAGCAAACAGGAUUAGAUACCCUGGUAGUCCACGCCCUAAACGAUGGGUACUAGACGUCGGGAAGCUUGUCUUCUUGGUGUCGCAGCUAACGCAAUAAGUACCCCGCCUGGGGAGUACGGUCGCAAGAUUAAA